rnacentral:rRNA from 1 species
UACGAAGGGGGCUAGCGUUGCUCGGAAUCACUGGGCGUAAAGCGCACGUAGGCGGAUUUUUAAGUCAGGGGUGAAAUCCUGGAGCUCAACUCCAGAACUGCCUUUGAUACUGGGGAUCUCGAGUACGGAAGAGGUGAGUGGAACUGCGAGUGUAGAGGUGAAAUUCGUAGAUAUUCGCAAGAACACCAGUGGCGAAGGCGGCUCACUGGUCCGGUACUGACGCUGAGGUGCGAAAGCGUGGGGAGCAAACAGG